rnacentral:rRNA from 1 species
UCAGGAUGAACGCUGGCGGCGUGCCUAAUACAUGCAAGUCGAGCGAACGGAUAAGGAGCUUGCUCCUUUGAAGUUAGCGGCGGACGGGUGAGUAACACGUGGGUAACCUACCUAUAAGACUGGAAUAACUUCGGGAAACCGGAGCUAAUGCCGGAUAACAUUUGGAACCGCAUGGUUCUAAAGUAAAAGAUGGUUUUGCUAUCACUUAUAGAUGGACCCGCGCCGUAUUAGCUAGUUGGUAAGGUAACGGCUUACCAAGGCAACGAUACGUAGCCGACCUGAGAGGGUGAUCGGCCACACUGGAACUGAGACACGGUCCAGACUCCUACGGGAGGCAGCAGUAGGGAAUCUUCCGCAAUGGACGAAAGUCUGACGGAGCAACGCCGCGUGAGUGAUGAAGGUUUUCGGAUCGUAAAACUCUGUUAUUAGGGAAGAACAAAUGUGUAAGUAACUGUGCACAUCUUGACGGUACCUAAUCAGAAAGCCACGGCUAACUACGUGCCAGCAGCCGCGGUAAUACGUAGGUGGCAAGCGUUAUCCGGAAUUAUUGGGCGUAAAGCGCGCGUAGGCGGUUUCUUAAGUCUGAUGUGAAAGCCCACGGCUCAACCGUGGAGGGUCAUUGGAAACUGGGAAACUUGAGUACAGAAGAGGAAAGUGGAAUUCCAUGUGUAGCGGUGAAAUGCGCAGAGAUAUGGAGGAACACCAGUGGCGAAGGCGACUUUCUGGUC